rnacentral:rRNA from 1 species
AGUGGGGAAUCUUGCACAAUGGGGGAAACCCUGAUGCAGCGACGCCGCGUGAACGAUGAAGCCCUUCGGGGUGUAAAGUUCUUUCGACAGGAACGAUAAUGACGGUACCUGGAGAAGAAGCUGCGGCUAACUACGUGCCAGCAGCCGCGGUAAUACGUAGGCAGCAAACGUUGUUCGGAAUUAUUGGGCGUAAAGAGUGUGUAGGCGGUCUUGUAAGUUUGGUGUGAAAUCUCCCGGCUUAACUGGGAGGGUGCGCCGAAUACUGCAAGACUUGAGUACUGGAGAGGAUAGCGGAAUUCCUGGUGUAGCGGUGAAAUGCGUAGAUAUCAGGAGGAACACCGGCGGUGUAGACGGCUAUCUGGACAGUCACUGACGCUGAGACACGAAAGCGUGGGUAGCAAACAGGAUUAGAUACCCUGGUAGUCCACGCCCUAAACGAUGCAUACUUGGUGUGAGUCCUUCAUUGGAUUCGUGCCGGAGCUAACGCGUUAAGUAUGCCGCCUGGGGAGUACGGUCGCAAGGC